UAUAGGCUUCUCACCCCUCGGCAGCUGCAACUGGCAAAUCUAGUUUACAGAAAUGGGAGAUGAGGGAGAUGUGCACGUUUUUCACUGUCGGAACUUGAGAGGCAGUGAUGGAAUACUUACGAAGUAGCAGCUCUCGGCAGAUGAGAAGAAUACACCUUGGCAGCUGCUGGAUCAAGGCAAAUGAGAGACCCAUGGAGCUCACUAAAUCCAACUCUACAGCUUGGAGCUAAGCCUAACUUAGCCAAGUCUAAACCAGUUUGACCUCAGCCAAUUCACAGAUGUUUGAGCCAGAAGUAAGGUGCUUGUUGCUGGAAGCCAGUUAAAUUUUGAGAUCUUUUUGAAAAAUAUAUUGUCAUUGCAGACAUAGAUGCACAUAGUUUUCCACACUGUGGGAAGUCAAAUUAAGCAUGCUUAGACUUUUAAAGCAGAAGCCCAUUAUUAGUGGGGUGGCAAAAAUGUUACAAGUGACAUAGUCCUCCAAUUUCCUUCUUCUAGCCCUCUGCCUAAGAACUAGUGUACUUCAUUUUGAAGUGGAGCCCUAACGGGAGUGUUCAUCUUCUGUCAACAGGGUUAAGCCUCUUGACGCUUACUGGGCACUCACAGUUGUUAGUUCCCUGGAAGACAUGAAAGAGCUUGAUUGGUUCUGUAGUCGUCAGUCAAUAACCAACUGUAACAUACCUACACUUCCAACAAAAUCUUGAUUUGGGAAAUUGAGUGUCUGCUUAUAGUUAAUCCUCUAUUUUUUGACACCUAGUAGGAAAAACAUUUUCAAAAGAGCCAUGACCUGACUCAGUUAAUAUGCAAGGAAAAAUAAGCAGUUCCAAACUUGUCAGUUUAUCCAUCAUCCCUUAUCCAAAAUCCUUCAACUCUCUUGGAAUUAUUUUGUUCUUCAUACUUGCCCAACAAAUAUCUUACUCUUGUCUUGGACUUUAUUUUAUAGUUAUCUCACAUAAGCUCCUUGUGGCUAAGGGCACAUAUUUGGAAUCAGACUACCCUAGUUCAACUCUUGGGUCUACCAUUUAUUAGCUUGUAUUACUUUGGGAAAGAUAAUUAAAUUCUCCAGAUCUAAUUUCCCCCAUUAUAAGAUAAUAAUAGUUAUUACCUGCUAGGAUUGUCUUGAGAAGUAAAUUAGAUAAUUCAUAAGAACCAUUUAACACAGUGCCAGCCACAUAAUGAAGGCAUAGUAAGGGAAAGUUAUUAUGCUGUUGAUAAUACUUGUCUAGGCAGGGGUCUCAUAUUUUUCCCUGUAUCCAUUACUGUACAAUUCAUCUGUCCCAUGACAUUCUAAGAUUGUUUUAGAGUGAGUUGCUUCAGAGUUGAAUAAUUCUAAUAAUAUAUUCUCAUGUUUGGAAACAACUUGGAAUUCCAUUUAGUGUAGACAUCAACAAUGAAAUCGCUAGAGGAUGAGUAAUUUCUACAAUUUUUAUUCAUUAUAGAGAGACCAAUGGGUAUAAUGGUGAAAAGAACUGAGUAGAAGGUCAGGAGGUCAAAGAGACUGAGUUUAAACCCUCACUCUGCUGAGUACUGUUAAUAAUGGUAUGAUCUUAAGAGAACUAAUCUUUAGUUUUUCCCACCUUAAAAACAGAGUUGUCAUGAGUAUUUAAUAAUAGAGGGUAGUAUGUAAACUUCCUGGCAUAUAGCAACUGCUCAACAAAUAGAAGUUAUAGUUUUUUCUUAACUUGCCAAAGAGCCAAGGGAAAAAUGAAGAUUUUGUAGCCAAAGCCAUUUAUCUUUCUCUGUUAUGUGCCUAUCUGUUCCAGAAACAGAAUCAAUUCCUUGAACCUCAUCAAAGGAAGGAUUUGAACAUUUAAAAAAAAAUCAAUCUCUUUGGGUUUGUUAUUGCUUGUUUCCCAUACCUCAGAGACACAAAUACAAACCUUUAUAAUGUCAUCAGGAAGAAGAGGAGUCAAACACUCCUUAACUCAAUAAUUGCAAUGUUAUUAUUUUGCAAGGAAUAGAGUCAAAAUUCCAUUCACAUGAGGACUGUAACUUCUUCAUUACUCCUUGAGGCACGAUGUCCUUGAUUUUAAGUAGCUCAUGUAGAAACUAGUUGUAAGUCUUUAGCGGAGAGACUGUACUGGAAUUAUAGGAUCUACUUAGGGGUUUGAGCUUCCCCACCCACUUAGAGUGACAGUUCACACCUAUAAAAACACAAAAGUCCGGGGGUUUAUUAAACAUUAGGAGAUCCAAAGAGCCAAGACUUCUACCUGUAAAAGUGGUGCUUCCUAAGCAGAAGAAAUGGAAUUUCUCAGAGAAUACAGCUUGGCUUGACCAAUGGACUGUACAAGGAAGAUUAGGAGGUAAUUACUGGGGUAAAAGAGAAAUGGUUGCAUCUUUCUGGAACACUCUAAUAAAACUGAAAGUUUUU
rnacentral:lncRNA from 1 species